AUACUUACCUGGCAAGGGAAACACCCUGAUCACUAAGGUGGUUUUCCCAGGGUGAGGCUCGUGCAUUGCACUCUGGGUGUGCCAACCUCUGCGGUUUGCAGUUUGGGGAAACCCAGCUGCAUAAUUUGUGGUAGUGGGGGACUCACUUGCACUCUCCCCUA
rnacentral:snRNA from 1 species